rnacentral:piRNA from 2 species
GCUCAGUUGGUAGAGCGGAGGACUGU